UUGAUCUGCCCGUGCAGAAGCGGACAUAUAAAUACAAGACGAGAAGACCCUUUGGAGCUUAAGAUAACAAACCAACUAUGUCAAGAGCCUAACAAAACAGACUAAACUAAAUAGCACCUGGUUACUAUCUUCAGUUGGGGCGACUGCGGGAGAAAAUAAAGCUCCCACGAGGAUUGGGGCUACCCCCUAAAACCAAGAAAGCCACUUCUAAGUCACAGAACAUCUGACCCUCCAAGAUCCGGCCUCCAGCCGACCAACGAACCAAGUUACCCUAGGGAUAACAGCGCAAUCCCCUUUAAGAGUCCAUAUCGACAAGGGGGUUUACGACCUCGAUGUUGGAUCAGGACAUCCUAAUGGUGCAGCCGCUAUUAAGGGUUCGUUUGUUCAACGAUUAAAGUCCUACGUGAUCUGAGUUCAGACCGGAGCAAUCCAGGUCAGUUUCUUCUUGUAAUG
rnacentral:rRNA from 1 species